GGCCUAUGGCUUAAUGGUAGAGCGUUCGACUCAAAUACCAAAGGUCACGGGGUUCGAAUCCCAGGUGCGCCA
rnacentral:tRNA from 1 species